CUAACUCCGUGCCAGCAGCCGCGGUAAUACGGAGGGUGCAAGCGGUAAUCGGAAUUACUGGGCGUAAAGCGCACGCAGGCGGUCUGUCAAGUCGGAUGUGAAAUCCCCGGGCUCAACCUGGGAACUGCAUUCGAAACUGGCAGGCUAGAGUCUUGUAGAGGGGGGUAGAAUUCCAGGUGUAGCGGUGAAAUGCGUAGAGAUCUGGAGGAAUACCGGUGGCGAAGGCGGCCCCCUGGACAAAGACUGACGCUCAGGUGCGAAAGCGUGGGGAGCAAACAGGAUUAGAUACCCUGGUAGUCCACGCCGUAAACGAUGUCGACUUGGAGGUUGUGCCCUUGAGGCGUGGCUUCCGGAGCUAACGCGUUAAGUCGACCGCCUGGGGAGUACGGCCGCAAGGUUA
rnacentral:rRNA from 1 species